GGAGGUGGAUGCGUCACUGGUGGGCGCCCCGGUCUUCAAAACCGUGCGUGUGGCACUAAUCCUGUCACAGGUGGGUUCGAUUCCUACACAUCUCCGCCA
rnacentral:tRNA from 1 species